rnacentral:rRNA from 1 species
CCCGCACAAGCGGUGGAGCAUGUGGUUUAAUUCGAUGAUACGCGAGGAACCUUACCUGGGCUCAAAUGUAUGUUGACGUAUUCUGAAAGGGAUACUUCUUCGGACAAUAUACAAGGUGCUGCAUGGUUGUCGUCAGCUCGUGCCGUGAGGUGUCGGGUUAAGUCCCAUAACGAGCGCAACCCCUAUCAUUAGUUGCCAUCAGGUCAAGCUGGGGACUCUAAUGAAACUGCCUACGCAAGUAGUGAGGAAGGUGGGGAUGACGUCAAAUCAGCACGGCCCUUACGUCCAGGGCUACACACGUGCUACAAUGGUCGGUACAAAGGGUUGCCAAGCCGCGAGGUGGAGCUAAUCCCAUAAAACCGAUCGUAGUCCGGAUCGCAGUCUGCAACUCGACUGCGUGAAGUCGGAAUCGCUAGUAAUCGUGAAUCAGAAUGUCACGGUGAAUACGUUCCCGGGCCUU